GCCUCCUCUCCCUGGCAGCCUCCUCUCCCAACUGAAGGGCUAAAACGAAAUGCAGAGUUAAAAAAAAUUCACAUGGAUUAUGAAGUAUCUCUUCCUCUCUUUGCCUUUCCCAUAUAUAAAGCCGAGAAGGAUAUACACAAACUUACAACAAUGGUUAUCGUUGGACGACAAGACUGUGGGGACAAUGUGCAAUGUGAGACUGGAGCAAUGAGCAAUACACAGUGACACAGAAAAUAUUGAAAUCCCCACCAGGUGGGAGAAAUUAACUGUAUGCUGCCCACAAGCAUGUAGACCCCAGACCGGUUGGAACCAAAUGGUUGAUGAUGCUGACUCCCAACUGCCUCACCACCAACCAAUCAGAAGAAUGUCCAAGAGAUGAUCACGCCCUUCUCUUU